UUGAUCCUGGCUCAGGAUGAACGCUGGCGGCGUGCUUAACACAUGCAAGUCGAGCGAAGCGCUUAAGUUUGAUUCUUCGGAUGAAGACUUUUGUGACUGAGCGGCGGACGGGUGAGUAACGCGUGGGUAACCUGCCUCAUACAGGGGGAUAACAGUUAGAAAUGACUGCUAAUACCGCAUAAGACCACGGUACCGCAUGGUACAGUGGUAAAAACUCCGGUGGUAUGAGAUGGACCCGCGUCUGAUUAGGUAGUUGGUGGGGUAACGGCCUACCAAGCCGACGAUCAGUAGCCGACCUGAGAGGGUGACCGGCCACAUUGGGACUGAGACACGGCCCAGACUCCUACGGGAGGCAGCAGUGGGGAAUAUUGCACAAUGGAGGAAACUCUGAUGCAGCGACGCCGCGUGAAGGAUGAAGUAUUUCGGUAUGUAAACUUCUAUCAGCAGGGAAGAAAAUGACGGUACCUGACUAAGAAGCCCCGGCUAACUACGUGCCAGCAGCCGCGGUAAUACGUAGGGGGCAAGCGUUAUCCGGAUUUACUGGGUGUAAAGGGAGCGUAGACGGCACGGCAAGCCAGAUGUGAAAGCCCGGGGCUCAACCCCGGGACUGCAUUUGGAACUGCUGAGCUAGAGUGUCGGAGAGGCAAGUGGAAUUCCUAGUGUAGCGGUGAAAUGCGUAGAUAUUAGGAGGAACACCAGUGGCGAAGGCGGCUUGCUGGACGAUGACUGACGUUGAGGCUCGAAAGCGUGGGGAGCAAACAGGAUUAGGUACCCUGGUAGUCCACGCCGUAAACGAUGACUGCUAGGUGUCGGGUGGCAAAGCCAUUCGGUGCCGCAGCUAACGCAAUAAGCAUCCACCUGGGGAGUACGUUCGCAAGAAUGAAACUCAAAGGAAUUGACGGGGACCCGCACAAGCGGUGGAGCAUGUGGNUUAAUUCGAAGCAACGCGAAGAACCUUACCUGAUCUUGACAUCCCGAUGACCGCUUCGUAAUGGAAGCUUUUCUUCGGAACAUCGGUGACAGGUGGUGCAUGGUUGUCGUCAGCUCGUGUCGUGAGAUGUUGGGUUAAGUCCCGCAACGAGCGCAACCCCUAUCUUCAGUAGCCAGCAGGUUAAGCUGGGCACUCUGGAGAGACUGCCAGGGAUAACCUGGAGGAAGGUGGGGAUGACGUCAAAUCAUCAUGCCCCUUAUGACCAGGGCUACACACGUGCUACAAUGGCGUAAACAAAGAGAAGCGAACUCGCGAGGGUAAGCAAAUCUCAAAAAUAACGUCUCAGUUCGGAUUGUAGUCUGCAACUCGACUACAUGAAGCUGGAAUCGCUAGUAAUCGCAGAUCAGAAUGCUGCGGUGAAUACGUUCCCG
rnacentral:rRNA from 1 species